GUUUGAAAAUGCAUGUGAUGCAGUCAGACAGAGAGAGGCAGCAACCGCAAUCUCACCAUGGGCGGCCAUGAAGAAUACAAAGAGGAUUCAGCUGGCGGGGGCUGAUCACCGCGAAGAGGGGCUGGGAUCGUGCCCCUCAGCAGGACCAAAAACCCACAGCGUAGGAUCCAAAAAAUAGCUCAAAUGGCCACUUAGGGGCCCCCUACCCAUGCCAGCCUAGGGCCCCCAGAGAAGUGAGUCUGUCCCUGUCACCAAGCCUGACACAGUCACAGUCACAGCCCUCUUUUUUCCUGCCCUGCAGCCAUGUUGGAGCAGACCGAGAGAGAAAGGUGGAACUACACAUUCGUCUCAUUUCAUUCAUAACUCAUGACUGUUUACUAGCCAUUAGUAUCUGUUACUUUAUGCAAGAGAUGAACAUAACAAAUUUAAAGCUGCUGUCUAUGGAGUUUUUUCUUGCUACUGUCACCUCUGGCCUGCUGACUGGGGGCUUUGGACAAUGCAACAUGCUUUGAGACAAUGUAAUACUGUAGAAAUGCACUAGAUAAGUUUGAAUUGAAAUGAAUCUAUGUACCUAGUGUCUAUGUGGUCUUACUGUAUGUGCAAAGCCAUUUUUAAAGUCUCAGCCAAACUUUAUUUCAUUUCAUUGUCUGUGAAUAAUUGGAAAUGACAAUAAAGUAGGACUGUAAUGGUUCGGUACAAACCUUUGGCCUUGAGUUCAUGGUUUGGUGUAAUUUUGGUCCAGCAGAAUUUAUUUAGAAAUUAAUUAUUAUUAAAACUUCAAAAUAGAAACAUAAUCAGAAAGAGUUGUAAACCUAAGGCAAUAUGUCUGUUGAUGUGUCUGUCACCGUGUCUCAACAAUAAAACCUGAGACUCUCAUUUGCACAUUGUUAAAAGAAAUAUGUACAAUAAAUAAAAAUUGCACAAUGCAUCAUAAAUGGAUGAUGUCAUCUCAAUUGAGUUAGCAGCUUGAAUGUGUUGUGAGCGACAUAUGAACAGAGUAUCAGAGCUGACAGGCAGACUUGGCCAGACAGGCUCUUAGUCAACUGUUGGUGUACUUUACUGGGAGACUGAAAUAUUCCCAAACUGUUGAUUAUGACUGACGGUAACCAGCAUUAGCCGUAAUCAACUCACAGCCACAAUCAUGCAUAAUGUUUUCUGCAUAAUGAUUUCCGGGUCU